rnacentral:rRNA from 1 species
UACGGAGGGGGCAAGCGUUGUCCGGAAUUAUUGGGCGUAAAGAGCUCGUAGGCGGUUUGUUGCGUCGGCUGUGAAAUCCCGAGGCUCAACCUCGGGUCUGCAGUCGAUACGAGCAAACUAGAGUGUUGCAGGGGAGACUGGAAUUCCUGGUGUAGCGGUGAAAUGCGCAGAUAUCAGGAGGAACACCGGUGGCGAAGGCGGGUCUCUGGGCAACAACUGACGCUGAGGAGCGAAAGCGUGGGGAGCGAACAGG